rnacentral:rRNA from 1 species
UUAAGCGAAUAAGCGUACACGGUGGAUGCCUAGGCAAUCAGAGGCGAUGAAGGACGUGCUAAUCUGCGAUAAGCGUCGGUAAGGUGAUAUGAACCGUUAUACCCGACGAUUUCCGAAUGGGGAAACCCAAUAUCCAAUGGAUAUUAUCAUGACGUGAAUACAUAGCGUCAUGAAGCGAACCGGGAGAACUGAAACAUCUCAGUACCCCGAGGAAAAGAAAUCAACCGAGAUUCCCCUAGUAGCGGCGAGCGAACGGGGAACAGCCCAGAGUCUUAAUCAACAGCAGCAUCAGGAGAACGGUCUGGAAAGUCCGGCAGUAAAGGGUGAUAGCCCCGUAUCUGAAGAUGCUGUUAUUGUGAACUCGACGAGUAGGGCGGGACACGUGUUAUCCUGUCUGAAUAUGGGGGGACCAUCCUCCAAGGCUAAAUACUCCUGAUUGACCGAUAGUGAACCAGUACCGUGAGGGAAAGGCGAAAAGAACCCCGGCGAGGGGAGUGAAAAAGAACCUGAAACCGUGUACGUACAAGCAGUAGGAGCCUCUUUAUGGGGUGACUGCGUACCUUUUGUAUAAUGGGUCAGCGACUUAUAUUCUGUAGCAAGGUUAACCGUAUAGGGGAGCCGUAGGGAAACCGAGUCUUAACUGGGCGAAUGAGUUGCAGGGUAUAGACCCGAAACCCGGUGAUCUAUCCAUGGGCAGGUUGAAGGUUGGGUAACACUAACUGGAGGACCGAACCGACUAAUGUUGAAAAAUUAGCGGAUGACUUGUGGAUGGGGGUGAAAGGCCAAUCAAACCGGGAGAUAGCUGGUUCUCCCCGAAAGCUAUUUAGGUAGCGCCUCGUGAACUCAUCUUCGGGGGUAGAGCACUGUUUCGACUAGGGGGUCAUCCCGACUUACCAACUCGAUGCAAACUGCGAAUACCGAAGAAUGUUAUCACGGGAGACACACGGCGGGUGCUAACGUCCGUCGUGAAGAGGGAAACAACCCAGACCGCCAGCUAAGGUCCCAAAGUCAUGGUUAAGUGGGAAACGAAGUGGGAAGGCUCAGACAGCCAGGAUGUUGGCUUAGAAGCAGCCAUCAUUUAAAGAAAGCGUAAUAGCUCACUGGUCGAGUCGGCCCGCGCGGAAGAUGUAACGGGGCUAAACCAUGCACCGAAGCUGCGGCAGCGACACUAUGUGUUGUUGGGUAGGGGAGCGUUCUGUAAGCCUGCGAAGGUGUACUGUGAGGUAUGCUGGAGGUAUCAGAAGUGCGAAUGCUGACAUAAGUAACGAUAAUGCGGGUGAAAAACCCGCACGCCGGAAGACCAAGGGUUCCUGUCCAACGUUAAUCGGGGCAGGGUGAGUCGACCCCUAAGGCGAGGCUGAAAAGCGUAGUCGAUGGGAAACGGGUUAAUAUUCCCGUACUGGUGGUAACUGCGAUGGGGGAACGGAGAAGGCUAGGUUGUCCGGGCGACGGUCGUCCCGGUUCAAGCAUGUAGGCAGAGUGAUUAGGCAAAUCCGGUCACUUAAUGCUGAGGUGUGAUGACGAGCCACUAAGGUGGUGAAGCAAUUGAUGCCCUGCUUCCAGGAAAAGCCUCUAAGCUUCAGGUUACCAACAAUCGUACCCCAAACCGACACAGGUGGUCAGGUAGAGAAUACUCAGGCGCUUGAGAGAACUCGGGUGAAGGAACUAGGCAAAAUGGUGCCGUAACUUCGGGAGAAGGCACGCUGGCGGUAAGUGAAGUCCCUCGCGGACGGAGCCGAAGCCAGUCGAAGAUACCAGCUGGCUGCAACUGUUUAUUAAAAACACAGCACUGUGCAAACACGAAAGUGGACGUAUACGGUGUGACGCCUGCCCGGUGCUGGAAGGUUAAUUGAUGGGGUUAUCCGUAAGGAGAAGCUCUUGAUCGAAGCCCCAGUAAACGGCGGCCGUAACUAUAACGGUCCUAAGGUAGCGAAAUUCCUUGUCGGGUAAGUUCCGACCUGCACGAAUGGCGUAAUGAUGGCCAGGCUGUCUCCACCCGAGACUCAGUGAAAUUGAACUCGCUGUGAAGAUGCAGUGUACCCGCGGCAAGACGGAAAGACCCCGUGAACCUUUACUAUAGCUUGACACUGAACAUUGAGCCUUGAUGUGUAGGAUAGGUGGGAGACUUAGAAGUGUGGACGCCAGUCUGCAUGGAGUCAACCUUGAAAUACCACCCUUUAACGUUUGAUGUUCUAACCUAGGUCCAUAAUCUGGAUCGGGGACCGUGUCUGGUGGGUAGUUUGACUGGGGCGGUCUCCUCCUAAAGAGUAACGGAGGAGCACGAAGGUUGGCUAAGCAUGGUCGGACAUCAUGCGGUUAGUGCAAAGGCAUAAGCCAGCUUGACUGUGAGAGUGACGGCUCGAGCAGGUACGAAAGUAGGUCUUAGUGAUCCGGUGGUUCUGAAUGGAAGGGCCAUCGCUCAACGGAUAAAAGGUACUCCGGGGAUAACAGGCUGAUACCGCCCAAGAGUUCAUAUCGACGGCGGUGUUUGGCACCUCGAUGUCGGCUCAUCACAUCCUGGGGCUGAAGUAGGUCCCAAGGGUAUGGCUGUUCGCCAUUUAAAGUGGUACGCGAGCUGGGUUUAGAACGUCGUGAGACAGUUCGGUCCCUAUCUGCCGUGGGCGUUGGAAGAUUGAGAGGGGUUGCUCCUAGUACGAGAGGACCGGAGUGAACGCACCACUGGUGUUCGGGUUGUCAUGCCAAUGGCAUUGCCCGGUAGCUAAGUGCGGAAGAGAUAACCGCUGAAAGCAUCUAAGCGGGAAACUUGCCUCGAGAUGAGUCUUCCCUGUCACCUUGAGUGACCUAAAGGAACGUUUAAGACUAAGACGUUGAUAGGCUGGGUGUGUAAGCGUAGCGAUACGUUGAGCUAACCAGUACUAAUGAACCGUGAGGCUUAACCUG